rnacentral:rRNA from 1 species
UGGGGAAUUUUGGACAAUGGGGGAAACCCUGAUCCAGCCAUCCCGCGUGUGCGAUGAAGGCCUUCGGGUUGUAAAGCACUUUUGGCAGGAAAGAAACGUCAUGGGUUAAUACCCCGUGAAACUGACGGUACCUGCAGAAUAAGCACCGGCUAACUACGUGCCAGCAGCCGCGGUAAUACGUAGGGUGCAAGCGUUAAUCGGAAUUACUGGGCGUAAAGCGUGCGCAGGCGGUUCGGAAAGAAAGAUGUGAAAUCCCAGAGCUCAACUUUGGAACUGCAUUUUUUACUACCGGGCUAGGGUGUGUCAAAGGGAGGUAGAAUUCCGCGUGGAGGAAUAAAAUGACUAGAUAUGCGGAGGAACACCGAUGGCGAAGGCAACCACCUGGGAAAACACUGACGCUCAUGCACGAAAGCGUGGGGAGCAAACAGG